GCGGGCGUGGUUUAGUGGCAAAAUGACUGCCUUCCAAGCAGUAGUCGGGGGUUCGAUUCCCCCCGCCCGCACCA
rnacentral:tRNA from 1 species